rnacentral:rRNA from 1 species
GCUCAGGACGAACGCUGGCGGCGUGCCUAAUACAUGCAAGUCGAACGAACUCUGGUAUUGAUUGGUGCUUGCAUCAUGAUUUACAUUUGAGUGAGUGGCGAACUGGUGAGUAACACGUGGGAAACCUGCCCAGAAGCGGGGGAUAACACCUGGAAACAGAUGCUAAUACCGCAUAACAACUUGGACCGCAUGGUCCGAGUUUGAAAGAUGGCUUCGGCUAUCACUUUUGGAUGGUCCCGCGGCGUAUUAGCUAGAUGGUGGGGUAACGGCUCACCAUGGCAAUGAUACAUAGCCGACCUGAGAGGGUAAUCGGCCACAUUGGGACUGAGACACGGCCCAAACUCCUACGGGAGGCAGCAGUAGGGAAUCUUCCACAAUGGACGAAAGUCUGAUGGAGCAACGCCGCGUGAGUGAAGAAGGGUUUCGGCUCGUAAAACUCUGUUGUUAAAGAAGAACAUAUCUGAGAGUAACUGUUCAGGUAUUGACGGUAUUUAACCAGAAAGCCACGGCUAACUACGUGCCAGCAGCCGCGGUAAUACGUAGGUGGCAAGCGUUGUCCGGAUUUAUUGGGCGUAAAGCGAGCGCAGGCGGUUUUUUAAGUCUGAUGUGAAAGCCUUCGGCUCAACCGAAGAAGUGCAUCGGAAACUGGGAAACUUGAGUGCAGAAGAGGACAGUGGAACUCCAUGUGUAGCGGUGAAAUGCGUAGAUAUAUGGAAGAACACCAGUGGCGAAGGCGGCUGUCUGGUCUGUAACUGACGCUGAGGCUCGAAAGUAUGGGUAGCAAACAGGAUUAGAUACCCUGGUAGUCCAUACCGUAAACGAUGAAUGCUAAGUGUUGGAGGGUUUCCGCCCUUCAGUGCUGCAGCUAACGCAUUAAGCAUUCCGCCUGGGGAGUACGGCCGCAAGGCUGAAACUCAAAGGAAUUGACGGGGGCCCGCACAAGCGGUGGAGCAUGUGGUUUAAUUCGAAGCUACGCGAAGAACCUUACCAGGUCUUGACAUACUAUGCAAAUCUAAGAGAUUAGACGUUCCCUUCGGGGACAUGGAUACAGGUGGUGCAUGGUUGUCGUCAGCUCGUGUCGUGAGAUGUUGGGUUAAGUCCCGCAACGAGCGCAACCCUUAUUAUCAGUUGCCAGCAUUAAGUUGGGCACUCUGGUGAGACUGCCGGUGACAAACCGGAGGAAGGUGGGGAUGACGUCAAAUCAUCAUGCCCCUUAUGACCUGGGCUACACACGUGCUACAAUGGAUGGUACAACGAGUUGCGAACUCGCGAGAGUAAGCUAAUCUCUUAAAGCCAUUCUCAGUUCGGAUUGUAGGCUGCAACUCGCCUACAUGAAGUCGGAAUCGCUAGUAAUCGCGGAUCAGCAUGCCGCGGUGAAUACGUUCCCGGGCCUUGUACACACCGCCCGUCACACCAUGAGAGUUUGUAACACCCAAAGUCGGUGGGGUAACCUUUUAGGAACCAGCCGCCUAAGGUGGGACAGAUGA